CAUAGCUCCAGCGUUGCAAAUGCCCUACAGCUCAAAGGCAACCCAGAAACUGAGUCAACACAACUUUUCAUAAGAAUGUUUGAUAAAUUUUUCGAUUGCCUGAAUGUGUCAAAUACCAAUUCAGGCAUCUUUCAGAGGAAACCAACUUGUGCACCAUACACUGAUAUCAAUGAUUGGAGAUUUAAGUGGCUAGAGGAGGAUUUCCUAAAGUUUCUAGCCAGAUGGGAGCAAGAAGGAGAAAUUCAAGCAAAUCUUAGUAAAAAGGAAAAAAAAAAAAACUUUGCCUUAGCAGGGUAACCCUUGAAGGACUGAGAAUAACGGUUAACUCAUUUGUGGAGUUGGGAAAGCAACUGCUUCUGCUGCCAAAUGUUCGAUUCCUGUUGAGCGAGAAGUUUAACCAAGAUCCACUUGAGGAAUACUUUUCAAAGCAGAGGGGCAUGGGAGGAUUUUGUGAUAAUCCUACUGUUAGGCAAUUUCAAAACAAUGCAUUAAAGUUGCAAGUUGCAAAUGCUCCUGCAGUAAUGGCAUCUACAAGAGGAAACUGUC